CUGAGCUGUUUCUUGCCUGCAGUUGGUCGAUGACCUACGAGGACUUGCUGUCAACCAACAAGCCUUUCGCUGAGCGAAUUUCUUUACCUGAGAUGGUCAACUUUUUGGUUGAUGUUUGGUACGAUGAGGGGCUUUUCGACUAAAAGAUGUUCAGAAGAGCUGUUGUGAGCAGGCAGUCUAUAGUCAUUCAGGAUAACAUGGCAGAUAUUGCUGUUUGACAGUAACAUAGGCAUCUGUCAAAUUUAACCCAGUCAAAUUUAGAUUACAUAAAUUUUUAUUAUCAAAUUCUUCUGUUUACUGAUCAUCUUACAAGCCUUAAUGUAUGGUUUCUAGCUGCGGACUAUGGCA